GGACAGGCGCGCACACACACACUCACACGCGCGCGCACACCCCACACAAACACACCCCGAUACAGACACACACACAGAGUGCAAAAGGCGAGCCGCCCCAUCCCGUCUCCAGGGUCCUCCGGGGCCCCCGCCCGCUGCUGCGCAUCCCGCGUCAGAGGAGCGAUUAACCAGACCCGGUAAGACACUCCAAGUCGUUGUGGUGCCAGGAUCUACUUCUGAAGGACCCUCAGAAGCCUCGGACAAGCUUCCCACAUGUGGCAGGUGCUGUACUGGAUGCUGUUGACCCAAAGAUGAUGAUGAGGAUGUUC
rnacentral:lncRNA from 1 species